rnacentral:rRNA from 1 species
GUGCCAGCAGCCGCGGUAAUACGGAGGAUGCGAGCGUUAUCCGGAUUCAUUGGGUUUAAAGGGUGCGUAGGCGGUCUUUUAAGUCAGUGGUGAAAUCUUGCCGCUUAACGGUAAAAUUGCCAUUGAUACUGAAAGACUUGAGUACAGUUGAGGUAAGCGGAAUGUGUAGUGUAGCGGUGAAAUGCUUAGAUAUUACACAGAACACCAAUUGCGAAGGCAGCUUACUAAACUGGCAACUGACGCUGAUGCACGAAAGCGUGGGGAGCGAACAGGAUUAGAUACCCUCGUAGUCC